rnacentral:rRNA from 1 species
GAUUCGUCACACUAUCAUUAACUGAAUCCAUAGGUUAAUGAGGCGAACCGGGGGAACUGAAACAUCUAAGUACCCCGAGGAAAAGAAAUCAACCGAGAUUCCCCCAGUAGCGGCGAGCGAACGGGGAGGAGCCCAGAGCCUGAAUCAGCAUGUGUGUUAGUGGAAGCGUCUGGAAAGGCGCGCGAUACAGGGUGACAGCCCCGUACACAAAAGCGCAUGUGCUGUGAGCUCGAUGAGUAGGGCGGGACACGUGGUAUCCUGUCUGAAUAUGGGGGGACCAUCCUCCAAGGCUAAAUACUCCUGACUGACCGAUAGUGAACCAGUACCGUGAGGGAAAGGCGAAAAGAACCCCGGCGAGGGGAGUGAAAAAGAACCUGAAACCGUGUACGUACAAGCAGUGGGAGCACCCUUCGGGGUGUGACUGCGUACCUUUUGUAUAAUGGGUCAGCGACUUAUAUUCUGUAGCAAGGUUAA